UUGUUUUAUUCUUGCUAAUUAAUUUACUUUAAGAUUAUUUUACAUGUAAUUUUUUGAUUGAAUAUUAAAAAAUCUUAAAGAUUUUUAUUUAUAAUAUAUUCGCAGUAAUUAAUAUUAUUAUUUAAAGAAAUUUUGAUAUAGAAAUUUUUAUUAGUAUUGGUAAAAUUUGUGCCAGCUACCGCGGUUACACAAAUAAUAUAAGUAAAUUUUAUUAGUAUUAGUUAAAUGUAAUUUAUAAAAAUAAAAGAAAAUUUUUUAGGUGAAAUUUUAAAAUUUUAAUUAUUUUUUAUGAAAUAAUAAUUUAAGCUAUAAAAUUUUAAAUUAAAACUAGGAUUAGAUACCCUAUUAUUUAAAAAGUAAAAUUAAAAUGCUUGAGUAGUAUUAGAUAUAUUCUUGAAACUUAAAGAAUUUGGCGGUGUUUUAGUCUAUUCAGAGGAAUUUGUUCUGUAAUCGAUAAUCCACGAUUAUCUUACUUAAGUUUGUUUUCAAUUUGUAUAUCGCCGUCAUCAGAAUAUCUUAGGAGAGAAAAUAAUUUUCUAAAAUUUAAAAUUUAAAUGAUGUCAGGUCAAGGUGCAGUUUAUAUUUAAGUAGAAAUGAAUUACAAUAAAAUUUAUUUAAAUGGAUAAUUUAAUAAAAAAGAAUUUGAAGGUGGAUUUGAUAGUAAAAUUUUAAAUAAAGAUUUUUUGAUUUUUUAGCUCUAAAACAUGCACACAUCGCCCGUCGCUCUCAUUAUAAUUUUUAAAAUGAGAUAAGUCGUAACAUAGUAGAUGUACCGGAAGGUGUAUCUAGAAUGA
rnacentral:ncRNA from 1 species